rnacentral:rRNA from 1 species
AGAAAAUGUUAGACUGGAUUAAAAAGUAAGACCCCCAAUGUUGUCUGAUCUCAGAAGCUAAGCAAGCUCAGGCCUAGUUAGUACUUGGAUGGGAGACCACCUAGGAAUACCAGGUGCUGUAGGUG